rnacentral:rRNA from 1 species
AUUGAACGCUGGCGGCAUGCCUUACACAUGCAAGUCGAACGGCAGCAUGGAGAGCUUGCUCUCUGAUGGCGAGUGGCGAACGGGUGAGUAAUGCAUCGGAACGUACCGUGUAAUGGGGGAUAACGUAGCGAAAGUUACGCUAAUACCGCAUACGACCUGAGGGUGAAAGCAGGGGAUCGCAAGACCUUGCGUUAUACGAGCGGCCGAUGUCAGAUUAGCUAGUUGGUUAGGUAAAGGCUCACCAAGGCGACGAUCUGUAGCGGGUCUGAGAGGAUGAUCCGCCACACUGGGACUGAGACACGGCCCAGACUCCUACGGGAGGCAGCAGUGGGGAAUGUUGGACAAUGGGGGCAACCCUGAUCCAGCCAUGCCGCGUGAGUGAAGAAGGCCUUCGGGUUGUAAAGCUCUUUCGGCCGGGAAGAAAUCGCACAGGCUAAUACUCUGUGUGGAUGACGGUACCGGCAUAAGAAGCACCGGCUAACUACGUGCCAGCAGCCGCAGUAA